ACAAUUCAUAGCCUAGUCAAAAUAAUACCAUUUACUCUGAAAAUACUCUUCCUGAUUAAAUUGCUUUUGCAGUGCUUCAUUCUUGUGGAAUGCAGUCCUAACCAUUUUCAGGGAUUACAGAUGUCCCUCUACUUAUGAACAGGUUAUGUUCUGAGAUGCUGUUCGUAAGUCCGUUUUGUCCAUAGGGCCAGUGAUGGGCGCCUGUGGUUUCAGUCUAGCAAAAGCGUGCCCUGUCACAAAAGAGAUUCUUCAGCUGAGAAAGAUGGUUCUUCAUCUUAAAGCCCUCAGCUGCUCAUUGAAAGAGGUUCUGCCAUGUGAUCUUGUGACUGGACAGGAGGAUGCCAUCAACAGCUGACCUAUCACAAGACCUAAAGGGGGAAAAGUCAAAGCAAGGCUAAUUUGUUAGUGCACAGCUUCCUGCUCUUGAUGUCUGGAAACAUUCUGACUAAUACAACAGAAUGUUCUUGUAAUCUGCCAUAAUACCAUAAGCUAGAGGCCCGCAGACUUUGACCUCUCACAGGUAUAAUAAUAAACUCUUUUCUUCAGCAGCA